rnacentral:rRNA from 1 species
CCUACGGGUGGCAGCAGUGAGGAAUAUUGGUCAAUGGAGGAAACUCUGACCCAGCAACGCCGCGUGAAUGAUGAAGGUCUUCGGAUUGUAAAGUUCUUUUCUAAGGGAAGAAGAAAGUGACGGUACCUUAGGAAUAAGCCUCGGCUAACUACGUGCCAGCAGCCGCGGUAAUACGUAGGAGGCGAGCGUUAUCCGGAAUGACUGGGUGUAAAGGGAGCGUAGACGGUUAAGUAAGUCUGGAGUGAAAGGCCGGGGCCCAACCCCGGGACUGCUCUGGAAACUAUUGAACUUGAGUGCAGGAGAGGUAAGCGGAAUUCCUAGUGUAGCGGUGAAAUGCGUAGAUAUUAGGAGGAACACCAGUGGCGAAGGCGGCUUACUGGACUGUAACUGACGUUGAGGCUCGAAAGCGUGGGGAGCAAACAGGAUUAGAUACCCUAGUAGUC